rnacentral:rRNA from 1 species
UACGAAGGGGGCUAGCGUUGCUCGGAAUCACUGGGCGUAAAGCGCACGUAGGCGGACUCUUAAGUCGGGGGUGAAAUCCCAGAGCUCAACUCUGGAACUGCCUUCGAUACUGGGAGUCUUGAGUGUGGUAGAGGUUGGUGGAACUGCGAAUGUAGAGGUGAAAUUCGUAGAUAUUCGCAAGAACACCAGUGGCGAAGGCGGCCAACUGGACCAUUACUGACGCUGAGGUGCGAAAGCGUGGGGAGCAAACAGG